rnacentral:rRNA from 1 species
AUUCCCGAUAGGCGAGGGACGCUGGGAUGCUUCCUCGCCCAAAGCUCCGGCGCCCAGGGAUGGGACUGCGGUCUAUCAGGCUGUUGGUGGUGUAACGGACCACCAAACCUACGACGGGUACAGGCGAUGGGAGUCGGAGCCUGGAGAUGGGGACUGAGACAAGGCCCCAGGCCCUACGGGGCGCAGCAGGCGCGAAAACUCCGCAAUGCGCGUAAGCGUGACGGGGGGACCCCAAGUGCCGUUGGUCUUUUGAUCGACGGCUUUUAGGAAGUCUAUGAAGCUUCCAGAAUAAGGGCUGGGUAAGACUGGUGCCAGCCGCCGCGGUAACACCAGCAGCCCAAGUGGUGGCCACGAUUAUUGGGCCUAAAGCGCUCGUAGCCGGGUCAGCAAGUCCCUUGUGAAAUCGGGCCGCCUAACGGUUCGGCGUGCAAGGGAUACUGUUGGUCUUGAGGCCGGGAGAGGUCGGAGGUACUCCUGGGGUAGCGGUGAAAUGCUCUAAUCCUGGGGGGACCACCAGUGGCGAAGGCGUCCGACCAGAACGGACCUGACGGUGAGGGGUGAAGGCUAGGGGAGCGAACGGGAUUAGAUACCCCGGUAGUCCUAGCUGUAAAGCAUGC